AGCCUAGAGGUUAAGGCUAUGGACCGCCAAUCCGGAGACAGCGGGUUCGAUUCCCGU
rnacentral:tRNA from 1 species